UACGUAGGGGGCAAGCGUUGUCCGGAUUUAUUGGGCGUAAAGCGCGUGUAGGCGGCUAUGCAGGUCCGCUGUGAAAACUCGAGGCUCAACCUCGAGACGUCGGUGGAAACCGCAUGGCUAGAGUCCGGAAGAGGAGAGUGGGAUUCCCGGUGUAGCGGUGAAAUGCGCAGAUAUCGGGAAGAACACCCGUGGCGAAGGCGGCUCUCUGGGACGGUACUGACGCUGAGACGCGAAAGCGUGGGGAGCGAACAGG
rnacentral:rRNA from 1 species